AACGAACGCUGGCGGCAUGCCUAACACAUGCCAGUCGAACGAGACCUUCGGGUCUAGUGGCGCACGGGUGCGUAACGCGUGGGAACCUGCCCUUAGGUUCGGAAUAACUCCCCGAAAGGGGUGCUAAUACCGGAUAAUGUCUUCGGACCAAAGAUUUAUCGCCUUUGGAUGGGCCCGCGUUGGAUUAGCUAGUUGGUAGGGUAAAAGCCUACCACGGCGACGAUCCAUAGCUGGUCUGAGAGGAUGAUCAGCCACACUGGGACUGAGACACGGCCCAGACUCCUACGGGAGGCAGCAGUGGGGAAUAUUGGACAAUGGGCGAAAGCCUGAUCCAGCAAUGCCGCGUGAGUGAUGAAGGCCUUAGGGUUGUAAAGCUCUUUUACCCGGGAUGAUAAUGACAGUACCGGGAGAAUAAGCUCCGGCUAACUCCGUG
rnacentral:rRNA from 1 species